rfam:Salmo salar isolate Sally breed double haploid chromosome ssa06, whole genome shotgun sequence.
UGGCUCAGUUGGUAGAGCAUGGUGUUUACAACACCAGUGUUGUGGGUUCAAUUCCCAC